rnacentral:misc_RNA from 1 species
GUCGCAUCUGCGCUUUUUUUGUCGAGAUAGUCGAGAACGUCGAGAACGUCGAGAAGUGCUAGAUAAAUAGGAAUAAACGUUUGUAGCUAUUUUAUCACUGUAUAUUAUACAAAAAAUAAUCAGGUCCUGUUGCUGUUAAAUUACCCAUAGAAUUAAAACUCUUAUGGGAUAAAGGCUGUGGGAUCGUUUUUGAUGGAUAGACGAAGGUGAAGGUUACGCCAUGGACCAGGAUGACGAACUGCCAGCAGGGGCGGCGGCGGCGGCGGUUCCAGGACCGUCGGCGGGUCCCGGGAGUGUCGGCCUGCCGUCACCCGUGGCCGCGGCAGCGGCCCCCCACCGACCGGUGAUGGGGAUCCCGCCGGACCUGGACCACGGCGGCGACCACGAGCGGUGCACCAUGUUCGAGCCGGCGCUGUACAUCCAGCGCUACACCACCGUCUGCCGGCUGCUGGCCGACGUGCAGCGCUUCGGCGUCGUCAGGAAGGUGCUGGAUAUGGGCUGUUCCGAGAUGUCAUUUCUCCAGUUCCUGAAAAGUAUUCCAACACUGAGUGACAUAUGUCUGCUGGAUAUAUCAGAGGAGACGCUGCGCCGCCACCUGCACCGUGCCAGCCCGGGCGCCAGGGACCGUCUGGAGCGGCGGCUGCAGCCGCUGCGCGUGCGCGUCUUCUGCGGAGACGUGACGCGGCCAGACACCCGCCUCCUCGGCUGUGACGCCGUCACCGGCAUCGAAGUGAUCGAGCACCUGGAGUCGCCGGUGUUGCGCGCGCUGCCGGCUGCCCUGUUCGGGUUCCUGCGGCCCCGUCUGGUGGUCCUGACCACCCCUAACGCUGAGUUCAACGAGCUCUUCCCCGGGUUCACCGGCAUGCGUCACUGGGACCACAAAUUCGAGUGGACCCGGGCAGAGUUCCAGCAGUGGUGCGCCGGCGUGGUGUCCCAGUACCCCGAGUACGAGGUGACGUUUGACGGCAUUGGCCCGCCGCCGGCCGGCUCCGAGCGGCUGGGCUGCUGCUCCCAGAUGGCUGUCUUCCACCGCCGGGACGAACCCCCCGCCCCCGCCGCCGGGACCGGGACCGGGACCGGCGAGCAGCAGCCGCACCAGCUGCUGUCCGACCACCAGUUCCCCUUCGAGAGCCGCGAGGACCGCCUGUACAACGACGUGCUGUACCACGCGCGCCAGAUCGGGUACGGUCGGAUGGAGGCGGCGGCGGGGCCGCGCCGGGAGGAGCUGGUCCCACUGGCCAUGAUCGCCGACAUGCCGUCGGUGUCGGCGGCCGGCGCCUCACUGGACGAGCUGGCGGGUCUGCUGAGCGCGCGCGGUGAGCCGGUGGUGGUGCACGGCGGCCGGCCGCACGUGGUGUACCGGCCGCCGCCAGACGGCAGUGACAGUGAGGACGAACUGGCCGGCGGCGACCUGCGGCCCGCCGAGCCCGCCGUGGGCCGCCAGCCGGCCGCAGGAGCCGACAGCGCCGCCGGCGACGCCAGUUACCACGACGACUGGGACAACGAGCCCAACUGGGAGCAGGAGAUCAUGGACAGGCUGCGACUGGGACGGCCGCCCCGACCCCGUCCCGGGGUGGUCUGAGCCCUCCGAGACGGACGUCGUCGACCACCCGCCGGCCGCCGGCGCCCCUCAGAUACCAGGUUCCGUCCGACGUAUCCGCGCUGCCCUGCCGGCGUACCGUCUGAUGUUGGACCUGCUCCGCGCCUGCUUCCCCGGCUGCUGGGGCGCCCCGCUGGCCGCCGCCCUGCUGCCAUCUAUUGUCGCCGAACUGAACUAUAGGUGACGCGCCGCGCCGCCGCUCCCGUCUGCAGCUGAGUUUUGUGGACACCGACCCGGGGUAGGCCGGUGUGCCGGUUGUAUAGAUGUAUGCCUUGCGUUUGGCUGUGACAUGAUGGGGAAAUGUCAGGUAUUGAAGAGGGCAUCGAACAACGCAACGAGCUUACCUUUGCUGCACGGCAGGACUAGAUUAUCCUUGUGUUUGCUGCUGAGCUGCGCGAAAUCAAACGAAGAUGAAGUAUCACUUAAACGAUUUGCCCCACUGCUGCACUGUUUUAUGUUAUGUGUAGUUCCGCUGAAACCGUCUCAGUGUCGGGUUGCACUGCAUCCGAGUGUAGGCUGUGUGCUGUGUUUUAUUGUAACCGCUGUGAAGGCAAAGAGCAUCAUGAUCAUGUGAUAUCCAUCGUAGGUGCACACACUUCAUAUGUGAAUGUUCAUUGUGCUCCUAGUAAAUUGUUGCACUGUCAUUUUUGUUCUUGAAUAUUUAUAAGCACAUCUGUUCUUAAGCAUCGCUGAGUCCAGGUUGAGACUUUCCUUAUGAUCAAGCUCACUGUUAACGCCUUUGUUUUAACCGUCCGCGACCAAAAUCGUUUCAUUUCACUCGCGCGAGCCAUCUUAAUGAGCACUGAGCACUGCUGUUCGGGUAUUGAGGUACGGGUUGGCCGCCAGCUUUCAGUGUGCCGCGCUGAAUCGGGCCGCAAUAAACAACUUUUAUUUCUGAA